rnacentral:lncRNA from 1 species
UAAGGGGUGUGUGAGUGCAUAAUUCUGCAGAACUUGCGUUCUGCAGAUUAUGCAGACUCGUUAUGCGAAUGAUCUCGCAUAGCGAGUCCUUGCUGGAGGGUACUCUCUUUCUGGGUCAUUCAUUGUGCGAAUGACCAGAGAGUGUUGCUCUCUGCCUGUUGAUUCACAUAGUGAAUCCUAUCGCUAUGCAACUGAUGGUGACAUUGAG